AGUGAACGCUGGCGGUAGGCCUAACACAUGCAAGUCGAACGGCAGCACAGUAAGAGCUUGCUCUUACGGGUGGCGAGUGGCGGACGGGUGAGGAAUACAUCGGAAUCUACUUUUUCGUGGGGGAUAACGUAGGGAAACUUACGCUAAUACCGCAUACGACCUACGGGUGAAGGCAGGGGAUCUUCGGACCUUGCGCGAUUGAAUGAGCCGAUGUCGGAUUAGCUAGUUGGCGGGGUAAAGGCCCACCAAGGCGACGAUCCGUAGCUGGUCUGAGAGGAUGAUCACCCACACUGGAACUGAGACACGGUCCAGACUCCUCCGGGAGGCAGCAGUGGGGAAUAUUGGACAAUGGGCGCAAGCCUGCUCCAGCCAUACCGCGUGGGUGAAGAAGGCCUUCGGGUUGUAAAGCCCUUUUGUUGGGGAAGAAAAGCAGCAGGUUAAUACCCCGCUGUUCUGACGGUACCCAAAGAAUAAGCACCGGCUAACUUCGUG
rnacentral:rRNA from 1 species